ensembl:lincRNA
UAAAAGGUAAGAUUAUAAAGAAGGAAGAGCCCUACCAAGGAAAAAAGGCUCUUUAUUUGCUUUGCUGUUAUGGUAUUCUUCCCAUUCCACUGGCGUCCAACACAUAUGUGUUGGCUGAAUCCAUCGAUGUGGAACCAUGGAUACUGAGGGCCACCUGUCAUUGCUUCCAGGAAUGCAUGGGGUUUGAAAAUGACCAUCCAUAUGACAAGACAAGAGCACUCAAGGAAGGAGAAUGCAGAAAACAGAGAAAAGGAAAGGACUACAGAAGGCUGGCUUUUCCUGCUCGGCACUGAUGGGCUGUUUAUCUUUGCCACCACAACUGUGGCAGCGGCAGAGGAAACAGCAAGCCAUUUUCUGCAAGGGCACAUGCCGAGAGGGCAGAAUUAAGACAAACACUUUCAUUCUUGGCUGCCAAAGCAUUUUAGCUUCUGAAAAGCAAGGGAAGCAACACCAUCGCCCUGUGAAGAAAUAAAUAAAUAAAGGCCCGGUGGCAAGAGAAGCUUCUGGGUGAUUUUCCACUUGUCAGAGGAAAAGGGCGAUGGGGCCAGUGAGGAUAGUGGUGAGAGGGAAGGGGGCGCUCAUUAUCUUCCAGCCCCUGGAAGCUUUUGUUCUCUUCAGCUGUGCUAAGGAGGCUGCAGCUCUGCUCCCAGCUGUGCAAAAUCUUGCAAGCGAUCUAAGAAGAAUGUCUGAGACCAGCAAUGUGACUCCAGCAGGCAUCACUCCAGGGAGAUGACAGCUGGGCAAGAAAGUAGAGCCCCCAGAUUCCCAGUUAGCAAUACUGAGCUAACAGGGCUCUCCAUGUUAAUACCUGCAUGGAUGCUUUUCUAGUACAGCUGCUGAAAGAGACUGCUGAGAGGUUUGCCUGAGGGCUGUUUGCAGUUUUUUCCCUUUUGUCCUGGCUCCAGACUGUCCAUAGCAGCUGCUGCACCUUGGAGAGCAUCAUGGGGGAGUUUAUAGUUGGAGAAAAAGGGAGGAUCUCAGAGUGGCUCAGUCCCAUCUACUGCUCAAUAUCACAAACACAUCUUGAAUGUGUUUGUUCUGUUGUGAAAAUCAAUGCUUCUUCAGAAUAGCUGGUGUUGGGACUUCAGUAAGAGAGCUUGAGGAAGUUUGCCUAAAGUAGGGCUUCUGGGCUGUCAGUAAGUCAGGCAGUCAGUCCACAGCUCUUUCUAGGUGGAAACUGAGAGGUAUUACAAAGGACCUACAUGAAAAACCUAACAGCUGGUUCUCUGUGGAGAAGGCUGGACUGCUUAGAAACAUACACCCCUUAGAGGUGGACUCUCACCUGCUACUACUGCAGUCUACCAGACCUGCUGCUACCUUUUUUGGGGUUUCAAGCAACUUUCCAUCUAAUAGACAACCUAACCCAGCUUGAAGAUUUUUGCAGAGGUUGGUCCAUAAAAUGCCAAAUCAAGCUACAUGGACCAUCUCAGGUUUAUUUGAGGACUAAGUAGCUUGCAUUCCACUCCUGGGGGCUGCCCCACUCUCCACUGCACCCAUAGAUUUACCACGGUAGAUUUAACUUCCUGGUUGAGGAAAACACCAGUUUCAGAGUAGCCCCAGAAGCCCUGCCUCCUCUCCCUCCCCAGUCCCCGUGGUCUCGCAGGGAGCUGCCUGUUUGAUUUAAUCUGGGGAGCUGGCACCUCUCCCAUUCCCUACUGUCAGGCUUGCACUGUUCAGCA